rfam:Puccinia triticina 1-1 BBBD Race 1 supercont2.34, whole genome shotgun sequence.
GCGUCUGUAGCCUAGUUGGUAAAGGCAGCACUCUAGUAUGUGUCUCAGCAUAGCUGAGGUCGUGAGUUCGACUCUCACCAGACACA